CUGCAUGUUAAACCAAGAGCUGUGGCUUGAUAAAUAGCCACAGGAUCUCCAACUACAUGCAAAAACAAGGUGGAGGGACUUUGACAGCUCGGCCUGCUGCGCCUGUGGUUGUCACUCGACUCUCCUACACUC
rnacentral:snoRNA from 1 species